rnacentral:rRNA from 1 species
UACAGAGGUGGCAAGCGUUGUUCGGAAUUACUGGGCGUAAAGGGCGCGUAGGCGGUCUUGCAAGUCCUGUGUGAAAUCCCUCGGCUCAACUGAGGAACUGCACAGGAAACUGCUUGGCUUGAGUCCGGAAGAGGAGAGUGGAAUUCCUGGUGUAGCGGUGAAAUGCGCAGAUAUCAGGAAGAACACCAAUGGCGAAGGCAGCUCUCUGGGACGGUACUGACGCUGAGACGCGAAAAGCGUGGGGAGCGAACAGG